rnacentral:lncRNA from 1 species
GAUCGAUGGCCAGGGUCGGCGUCAGAGUUUGAGAGGAACAGGGCUCAAUGUGUGGCUGUGGUCAGGAAGGGCUGGCUGAGCAGCAGGGAGCUCAGGGAGGCUGGAGGAGCUAGGAAGGAGAAUGAGGCUCCAGAGAGGCCAGAGGAGUGGAUUUGUCACUCGACCACAGCAGAACGUGGGCUGAGGAGGGGGAACUGCCAGGCC